rnacentral:tRNA from 1 species
CUGAGUAAGUUAAAAAAACUAAAGGUCUGUGGAACCUUAAUUCGACUAAGUCGCCAGG